rnacentral:sRNA from 1 species
GGCGCGUUACCCAACAGGUAACGCGCU